rnacentral:lncRNA from 1 species
CCACCGCGCUGUGGCGGCGCCCCUCGCCAGCGAGAUCGCGGGAGAGGCAGGCGCAGCACUGGUGCUCCAAUGGCAAGGAUCAUCAGGCACCACUUUUGCCAUGAUUGAUUUAUCCUUGUUGGAACUAAUUGCUUGUAAAUUCAGAUUAACAUGGAUGGGAUAUCAGACCAAGAAGUUGCAAAUGCCUAUUCUUUUGUAUUCUCCUUUGAUGAGUGGCAACCCGCUGCGCCGCCGUGCGUGCGCGCAGGAGUCGCCGAGGAGUUGGAGGAUCUCGAUCGACGAAGUCGCCGUCGUCGCCGACAGCGACGGCGAUGCAGAUGUCAACGCUGAGCAGCUCCUCCAUUUGCUCGAGCACGUCGGCGCCAUAGGGGAGAACACGUACGGUUCGAACGCCUCGGCCACCACCACUGGCCGCUCCGUCCACUCCGUCAUCGCGAGCUCCGGCACUGGCGGGGCGGACUGGAAGAUCAGUAGCCGAAGCCAUGGGGGCCGCCUCGCCAUCUCCUCCCUGCAUCGUGAUGGGGAGGCCGCCAGAUCUGAGCUGAAGCAUGCCGAUGACGCCCCUCCUCUCAACACCGACGGCGACCAUUGGCACUACAGGAGACGAAGCAGGGAAGAUGAAGCUGCCCCCUUCCCGCCUUCGUCCAUUCGGGGCUCGCCCAUCCGCCGCAAUAUCUCAAUACAAAUUUCAUCACCAGGGACUAGGGAUGGAUUUGGAACCCACGGUGGACGCCGCCAACUCCGACCGUGCCAGAAGUACAAGUCCGGCCGCAUCGCCAGCCGCCGUCGGCGAGGGGCAGAGAGGGAGCAGCUUCCCCUGGAAAACACCUCGAAGGACACGCACAUGUUGGCCACGCCGGCGGCGGCGCCGGAUGGGACGAGGCCCCCGACUGACAUGACGCAGAACUCAAAGUCAUCGGCCGUGUCCUUCGUAACAAAGCCACUAGCGGCGGCGUCAGCGCGGGGCUCCGGCACAACACCGGCCAUGACUUGA